AUUGAACGCUGGCGGCAUGCCUUACACAUGCAAGUCGAACGGCAGCACGGGAGCAAUCCUGGUGGCGAGUGGCGAACGGGUGAGUAAUAUAUCGGAACGUGCCCGGUCGUGGGGAUAACGUAGCGAAAGCUACGCUAAUACCGCAUACGAUCUACGGAUGAAAGCGGGGGAUCGCAAGACCUCGCGCGAUUGGAGCGGCCGAUAUCAGAUUAGGUAGUUGGUGAGGUAAAGGCUCACCAAGCCGACGAUCUGUAGCUGGUCUGAGAGGACGACCAGCCACACUGGGACUGAGACACGGCCCAGACUCCUACGGGAGGCAGCAGUGGGGAAUUUUGGGACCAAUGGGCGCAAGCCUGAUCCAGCAAUGCCGCGUGCAGGAUGAAGGCC
rnacentral:rRNA from 1 species